rnacentral:rRNA from 1 species
AAUGAACGCUGGCGGCGCGCCUAAUACAUGCAAGUCGAGCGAGAAGACGUAGCAAUACGUUUGUAAAGCGGCGAACGGGUGAGGAAUACAUGGGUAACCUACCCUCGAGUGGGGAAUAACUAGCCGAAAGGUUAGCUAAUACCGCGUACGCUUCUUGGACUUCGGUUCAGGGAGGAAAGCGAUGCCGAGGGUAUCGCGCUCUUGGAUGGGCUCAUGUCCUAUCAGCUUGUUGGNGAGGUAACGGCUCACCAAGGCUUCGACGGGUAGCUGGUCUGAGAGGACGAUCAGCCACACUGGCACUGCGACACGGGCCAGACUCCUACGGGAGGCAGCAGUAAGGAAUAUUGCGCAAUGGGCGAAAGCCUGACGCAGCGACGCCGCGUGGGGGAGU